AUUGAACGCUGGCGGCAUGCUUUACACAUGCAAGUCGAACGGCAGCGCGGGCUUCGGCCUGGCGGCGAGUGGCGAAUGGGUGAGUAAUACAUCGGAACGUGCCCAGUAGUGGGGGAUAGCUCGGCGAAAGCCGGAUUAAUACCGCAUACGACCUGAGGGUGAAAGCGGGGGAUCUUCGGACCUCGCGCUAUUGGAGCGGCCGAUGGCAGAUUAGCUAGUUGGUGGGGUAAAGGCCUACCAAGGCGACGAUCUGUAGCUGGUCUGAGAGGACGACCAGCCACACUGGGACUGAGACACGGCCCAGACUCCUACGGGAGGCAGCAGUGGGGAAUUUUGGACAAUGGGCGAAAGCCUGAUCCAGCAAUGCCGCGUGUGUGAUGAAGGCCUUCGGGUUAUAAAGCACUUUUGGCGGGAACGAAAAGGACUGUGCCAAUACCACGGUUCGAUGACGGUACCCGCAGAAUAAGCACCGGCUAACUACGUG
rnacentral:rRNA from 1 species